AUGCAUACUUACAUACUUUUGUACUUAUAUUCAUACAUACUUUUAUACUUACACAUACUUUUGUACUUACAUUCAUACACACAUACUUACAUACUUACACAUACUUUUGUACUUACAUUCAUACUUUUAUACUUACAUUCAUACAUACUUUUAUACAUGCAUACUUACAUACUUUUGUACUUAUAUUCAUACAUACUUUUAUACUUACACAUACUUUUGUACUUACAUUCAUACACACAUACUUACAUACUUACACAUACUUUUGUACUUACAUUCAUACUUUUAUACUUACAUUCAUACAUACUUUUAUACAUGCAUACUUACAUACUUUUGUACUUAUAUUCAUACAUACUUUUAUACAUGCAUACUUUUGUACUUAUAUUCAUACAUACUUUUAUACUUACACAUACUUUUGUACUUACAUUCAUACACACAUACUUACACACAUACAUACUUUUAUACUUAUGUACUUACAUUCAUACUUUUAUACAUGCAUACUUACAUACUUUUAUACAUGCAUACUUUUGUACUUACAUUCAUACACACAUACUUUUGUACUUAUAUUCAUACAUACUUUUAUACUUACAUUCAUACAUACUUUUAUACAUGCAUACUUUUGUACUUAUAUUCAUACAUACUUUUAUACUUACACAUACUUUUGUACUUACAUUCAUACACACAUACUUUUAUACAUGCAUACUUACAUACUUUUGUACUUACAUUCAUACACACAUACAUACUUUUAUACUUACAUUCAUACAUACUUUUGUACUUAUAUUCAUACAUACUUUUGUACUUACAUUCAUACACACAUACAUACAUACUUUUGUACUUACAUUCAUACACACAUACUUUUGUACUUACAUUCAUACACACAUACUUUUAUACUUACAUUCAUACAUACUUACACAUACUUUUGUACUUACAUUCAUACACACUUUUGUACUUAUAUUCAUACAUACUUUUAUACAUGCAUACUUACAUACUUUUGUACUUAUAUUUAUACAUACUUACAUACUUUUGUACUUACAUUCAUACACACUUUUGUACUUACAUUCUCACAUACUUUUAUACUUACAUUCUCACACACUUUUAUACUUAUAUUCAUACUCACACACUUUUGUACUUACAUUCAUACUCACACACAUACUUGCAUUCAAGCUGGAGAACCCACGCAUGCACGGGGAGGACAUGCAAACUCCACACAGAGGGAUUUGA
rnacentral:lncRNA from 1 species